UCCUCAUAGUUCAGUCGGUAAAGAAUCUGCCUGCAGUGCAGGAGACCCAGGUUCGAUUCCUGGGUCAGGAA
rnacentral:tRNA from 1 species